rnacentral:snoRNA from 1 species
AAUUUGUGGUGUGGGCACUUUUGAAUCAACAUCUUGAAAUUCUCCAAUGCUUCGUGAAGGCUCUCUCCUUCUAAUUGCUUGAACAUUAAAAUUUCCCCGUCUUAGCU